rnacentral:tRNA from 3 species
GGGCCGCUAGCUCAGCUAGGUAGAGCAACGCCCUUUUAAGGCGUGGGUCAAAGGUUCGAAUCCUUUGCGGCUCA